UAGCGUAGGGGGCAAGCGUUGUCCGGAUUUAUUGGGCGUAAAGAGCGUGUAGGCGGCCAGGUAGGUCUGCUUGUGAAAACUCGAGGCUUAAACCUCGAGCCUGUCGGCGGAAACCAUCUGGCUAGAGUCCGGAAGAGGAGAAUGGGAAUUCCCGGGUGUAGCGGUGAAAUGCGCAGAUAAUCGGGAAGAACACCCGUGGCGAAGGCGGUUCUCUGGGACGGUACUGACGCUGAGACGCGAAAGCGUGGGGAGCGAACAGGAUUAGA
rnacentral:rRNA from 1 species